rnacentral:misc_RNA from 1 species
GAUGAAGAACGUAGCGAAAUGCGAUACUUGGUGUGAAUUGCAGAAUCCCGUGAACCAUCGAGUCUUUGAACGCAAGUUGCGCCCGAAGCCAUUAGGCCGAGGGCACGCCUGCCUGGGCGUCACACGUCGUUGCCCCCCCAUCUACUCCUUCGGGAUUGCGGGGGGCGGAUGAUGGCCUCCCGUGCGCCUUGUCGCGCGGUUGGCAUAAAUACCAAGUCCUCGGCGACGCACGCCACGACAAUCGGUGGUUGCGAAACCUCGGUUGCCCGUCAUGUGCGGUCGUCGCGCAUCGAGGGCUCGAAAAAAUUGCCGGGCUCCGGCUCGGCUUUCAACGCGACCCCAGGUCAGGCGGGGUUACCCGCUGAAUUUAAGCAUAUCAAUAAGCGGAGGA